AAGUCGUAACAAGGUUUCCGUAGGUGAACCUGCGGAAGGAUCAUUACAUUCAGUAGCUUGCUACUGUUAGGGGGGUCGAUCAGCCUGUAUAGUAUCACUACUGAUGAGCAGCACAACCCCCUGUCUGUACCCUUGUCUUUUGCGCACUCAUGUUUCCUCGGCGGGUCUACACCCGCCGGCUGGACAACUCUAUAACCUUUUUAAUUUUCAAUCAGCGUCUGAAAAACCUAAUAAUUACAACUUUCAACAACGGAUCUCUUGGUUCUG
rnacentral:misc_RNA from 1 species